rnacentral:rRNA from 1 species
UUCGAUGAUACGCGAGGAACUUACCUGGGCUCAAAUGUAUGUUGACGUAUUCUGAAAGGGAUACUUCUUCGGACAAUAUACAAGGUGCUGCAUGGUUGUCGUCAGCUCGUGCCGUGAGGUGUCGGGUUAAGUCCCAUAACGAGCGCAACCCUAUCAUUAGUUGCCAUCAGGUCAAGCUGGGGACUCUAAUGAAACUGCCUACGCAAGUAGUGAGGAAGGUGGGGAUGACGUCAAAUCAGCACGGCCCUUACGUCCAGGGCUACACACGUGCUACAAUGGCCGGUACAAAGGGCAGCUACCUGGUGACAGGAUGCUAAUCUCAAAAGCCGGUCUCAGUUCGGAUCGGAGUCUGCAACCCGACUCCGUGAAGCUGGAAUCGCUAGUAAUCGUGAAUCAGAAUGUCACGGUGAAUACGUUCCCGGGCCUU